rnacentral:rRNA from 1 species
CCUACGGGUGGCAGCAACUAGGAAUUAUGUGCAAUGGGCGAAAGCCUGACACUGCGACAUCGCGUGGAGGAUGAAGGUCUUAGGAUUGUAAACUCCUUUUAUCUACGAACAAGUUCUGAGUGUAGUAGAUGAAUAAGUGCCUGCCAACCACGUGCCAGAAGCAUCGGUAAUACGUGGGACACAAGCGUUAUCCGGAUUCACUGGGCGUAAAGAGAUGCGUAGGUGACUUAAUAAGUUCUGUGUUAAAGCCUAAUGCUCACCAUUAGAAGCGCGCAGAAAACUAUUUUGAUUGAGUUAAGUAGGGAGAAGGGGAAUUCCUGGUGGAGCGGUUAAAUGCGUUGAUAUCAGGAGGAACACCAAUAGCGAAGGCACCUUCUUGGACUUAUACUGACACUAAGGCUCGAAAGCGUGGGGAGCAAAACGGAUUAGAUACCCCAGUAGUC